CUGCCUCACAAGGGGUCUGUUGUGGGGAGAGGAAGGGAAAGGAGUUUUUAAGCCGCUUGGAGACUCCUUUUGGUUGAGAAAAUCCAAACUCUUCUUCCUCUUCUCCUGGGAGUUGGCUCCCCAACCCUGACUUCCUUCUUCCAACAGCAAUGAAGCCUCGUCGGCUCUUCAUAGUCGUGAAAAGCUUUUCAGGGGAAGCCAAGUCAGGAGGGGAGGUGAAGGUCUCCAAAGGCAGCCUCCUGCGUCAAGAAGAGUCUCUUCGAGCCUCCUCGGAAGGGUCUUUCUGGGCCAAGGUCUUGGACACCGAAAAAGUGAUCCGAGUCUCUUCUUCGGCCGUCAAGGAACUGACCGGCGCCCAUGCUGGGCUCUUAGAAGCUGUGACCAACGGAGAUGAGCGCCUGGGACUUUUCAAUCAGGAGCGGCUGAUGCGGAGGCUCAGCUCCCUUCAGAAGGGGGACCCGGUCCGAGUCCAGAUUACGUCCACUUCUGGGCAGAAAGUUCCAGGCAUAGUCCGAUACCGGGGACCCAUAGAAAAGAACAAGCGCGAUGCGGGUAUCAUCUUUGGAGUAGAGCUGGUGGGUUCAGCCGCUGGGAAAGGUUUCACCGACGGCUCCUUCAAAGGUCAGAAAUUCUUCUCUUGUCAAGAAAACUGCGGAGUCUUUGUGCCCGUCAACCGCAUUGAGCCGGACGACUCAGCAAGGGGCAGCCCUCCAGCACCUCCAAGAAGCAAUGUCAGGGAAUGCACGAGGAUCCAGCUGACAUCCGGUGAUCCCUUGUCAUCCCCUACACUGGAGAUCGGGGACCGUGUUUUCUUCCAGAUGGAAGACAGCACCCCUACUGGUACGGUGGUGUACUGCAACUACCUGCCCAAGAAAAUGGAGACGGGGGUGUUUGUGGGGAUACACCUGGACCAGCCGGUUGGCUCCUGGGAUGGCUAUUUCAAAGAGAGCAAACUUUGUCGUAUCCCAGCACCAGAGUACGGGAUUCUCUUGCCGAUUUCUAAAGUACACAAAGAACAGCCUGACAGAAGCCCUGAGGUUUUGGGCAGCCGUUCCUCCCCCCUCAGCUCCGCCUUUUUUGAUUGCUCAUCCCCCCCAUCCAUCCGGUACCCCCCGAGGAUGGAGGGGUGUUCCCCCAAGGAACCGCCAUCGCUGCUCCGUUCCCUCAGCUCAGAGAAGCAAAAAGGCGGGAACGGCGAGAGGGCCAAAGAGGAGGAGGCGAGUGAAGAUGAGGAGGAGGAAGAGGAUGAACAGUUUGACCACCUUCUCCUGGAGAUCAACUCCAUGGUGGAAGUGAACGAUCCACCCAUCUACGGGGUGAUCCGCUGGAUUGGAGCUCUGCCUGACAUGGAUGAAACGAUUGCUGGUCUGGAGUUGGAGGAGCCGCUGUCUCCGAGCUGCACAGACGGACAGUACAGAGGGGUCCGCUAUUUUCACUGCCCACCCAACAAGGCCCUCUUUGUCAAGUUGCGUCGCUGUCGGCCCGACUCCCGUUUUGGCCUGGAGCAGAAUCUGGAGAAUCCUGUUUUACGGUGCAAUUCCCUGGAUUUCCAUGUGUACGCUAGUGCGAAAGUAGAAGAGGACACUCCACCGCCACCGUUGGGCGAUGCCAGCAUGAAGCAUCUCUUGGGAUGGAAGAAAGGAAUCCAGGGGCAUUGCAACUCCUGUUAUCUGGAUGCCACGCUUUUCUGUAUGUUUACGUUCUCCUCGGUGCUGGACUCAAUGAUGCUCCGUCCGGCAGACAAGAACGACGGAGAGUCUUAUACCGAGACGCGGGACCUGUUGAGGACGGAGAUAGUCAACCCUUUGCGCAGGAAUGGCUACGUCUGUGCUACCAAAGUCAUGGCGCUGCGGAAAGUUCUGGAAACUGCCGGACAUUCUUCAGGCUUCACAAGUGAAGAGAAAGACCCAGAAGAAUUUCUCACCUUGUUGUUCCGAGUCCUGAAAAUGGAUCCCCUCUUCCAGAUUCGCUCGGCUGGUAAGGACCCCCACGGAUGCAUUUUCUACCAGAUCUUCACCGAGGGGCACCCAACCCAGGCGGUGCCCACUGUUCAGCAACUCCUGGAAGGGUCGCUUGUCACUGCAGACCUCAAGUUCACAGAGGCCCCUUCCUGUCUCAUCCUGCAAAUGCCGAGGAACGGGAAGAACUUCAAGGCCUUCUGCACCAUCCAGCCCAGCCUAGAACUUGACCUCACCGACCUUCUGGAAGACACCCCUCGGGAGUGCUGUAUCUGUCAAGGGCUGGCAGCGACAGAGUGUCUGGAUUGCUACGGGGAUCACAGCUUUGGUUUUGGACGCAUCAAGCAGUUCUGCAAGACCUGCAGCCAGCAGGUUCACAAGCACCGUGCCCGGCGCUGCCACAAGCCCCGCCCGUUGCAUCUGCCCGAAGAGCUUUCCCGUUUGGGCCAUUUGCCCAGCGUCAUCCCCCGACAGACCAUGCAACUCUUUGCCAUCCUCUGCAUCGAGACCAGCCACUACGUAGCCUUUACCCGCCACGGCUCUGGUGUCCACCAGUGGCUCUUCUUUGACAGCAUGGCCGACCGGGAGGGUGGUCUCAAUGGCUUCAACAUCCCUCGCGUUACGACCUGUUCAGAGGUGGCGGACUACCUGGAAAUGUCCCCGAAAGAGCUGCAGGGCCUGGACCCCAAGACCUUGCCCACGUGUGCUCGCCGCCUGCUCUGUGACGCCUACAUGUGUUUCUACCACAGCCCUUCCCUUGGCCUCUACAAAUAAGCCGCUUGCUAUAGAACUCAAGGAUUUCAGCCAGAGCAAUCGGGCAUGGGUCUGGAGUCCUGGAGCGAACUUCACUUGGGGGUGCGUCACAAGAUGUGGGUCUUCAAUCAGAGCAACGGGGAUAAGCGGCAGAAGCCUGAUCCGGCCAGAAGUCUGGAGAUAGACGCUACAGCCAAAGACGGAACCUGUGGUGGGAUUCAGCCAGUUUGCACCACUUCAGCAGAACUGGUUGUUAAAAUGGUGCUUGUAAACAACCAGUUGUUAAAUUCUUUGAACCCCACCACCGGAACCAGUUGUUGAAUUAUUUGAAUGCCACCACUGGAGCAGCUGUGUUCUCGCCCUAACUUGACUGAAAGAAUGCAAACCCUGGUUGACUGCAGCUGCCAACUGUAGUUUAAGAAAUUAGUGGAGAUUUGUGGGUGGGGGGUGGAGCCUGAGGAGGACAAACUUUGGAGCGGGGAUGAGAUGUGAGUCCACCCUGCCAUUUCCUGUAGGCGAAUUGAUUUCUGUUGGCUGGGUAUCAAUUGUAAUUCCAGGAAAACCGUGAUACUGGUUCGCCACCACUGCACAGGUACUAGCCCACACGGAGUCUUUCCAUGAGGUCAGUGCUGCCCGGAAUCCAGUUCUGCCUGCCCUUCUCUAUCCCACUUCUGUACCGUGUUUCCCCGAAUAUAAGACACUGUCUUAUAUUAAUUUUUGCUCCCAAAGAUGCGCUAUGUCUUAUUUUCAGGGGAUGUCUUAUUUUUCUGUGUUCUGUUCGUCGGGCAUGCUUCCAAACA